GAGCAUGGUAAGUUUUAGUAAGUAGUGUGACAGAGGUUAUGUGGAGAAAGGGAAAGCGAAGUAAGCAGGCACGUUUCUUUUCUCUAUUUCCAGAGAAGUUGUGCAGAGUAGGAGAAUAGGAAUUUGUACAUAUUAAAUGGGUGGAUAGUAAGAAUGUUGAUGGUGGUUUAGAGGUGCAGGGAAGGAUUUUAUUCUCGGUUGUUGAGGGGGAAGAAUGUUUGAGUGAGGUUUUGCAUGGGAAAAGCUUUCUCGUGCACUUCCUGCAACAAGAACGUAGGUAGCAGUAAUGAAAAUAAAGGCAUGGAGAGGUAUGACGAGUGUUUGAAUGAGUUAGAGAAAGAAGGUAUAACUUUCUCUAGGUUUGGGUUUGAGUGCCUACUUAUAUUCUACACCUCUUUGUAUUGCUUUUAAGCUUUUUGACAUCUUAAAAUUGACCAAUUCAAGUUAUAUUUU
rnacentral:lncRNA from 1 species